CCUACGGGAGGCAGCAGUGGGGAAUUUUGGACAAUGGGCGAAAGCCUGAUCCAGCAAUGCCGCGUGAGUGAAGAAGGCCUUCGGGUUGUAAAGCUCUUUUGUCAGGGAAGAAACGGUGAAAGCUAAUAUCUUUUGCUAAUGACGGUACCUGAAGAAUAAGCACCGGCUAACUACGUGCCAGCAGCCGCGGUAAUACGUAGGGUGCAAGCGUUAAUCGGAAUUACUGGGCGUAAAGCGUGCGCAGGCGGUUUUGUAAGUCUGAUGUGAAAUCCCCGGGCUCAACCUGGGAAUUGCAUUGGAGACUGCAAGGCUAGAAUCUGGCAGAGGGGGGUAGAAUUCCACGUGUAGCAGUGAAAUGCGUAGAUAUGUGGAGGAACACCGAUGGCGAAGGCAGCCCCCUGGGUCAAGAUUGACGCUCAUGCACGAAAGCGUGGGGAGCAAACAGGAUUAGAUACCCUGGUAGUCCACGCCCUAAACGAUGUCUACUAGUUGUCGGGUCUUAAUUGACUUGGUAACGCAGCUAACGCGUGAAGUAGACCGCCUGGGGAGUCGGUCGCAAGNUUAAAACNCAAAUGAAUUGACGGCUGAGAGNGCGAGCGACGACGAGGGAGGAGG
rnacentral:rRNA from 1 species